rnacentral:rRNA from 1 species
CGGUAAUACGUAGGGUCCGAGCGUUGUCCGGAAUUAUUGGGCGUAAAGAGCUCGUAGGCGGCGUGUCGCGUCUGCUGUGAAAGACCGGGGCUUAACUCCGGUUCUGCAGUGGAUACGGGCAUGCUAGAGGUAGGUAGGGGAGACUGGAAUUCCUGGUGUAGCGGUGAAAUGCGCAGAUAUCAGGAGGAACACCGGUGGCGAAGGCGGGUCUCUGGGCCUUACCUGACGCUGAGGAGCGAAAGCAUGGGGAGCGAACAGGAUUAGAUACCCUGGUAGUCCAUGCCGUAAACGUUGGGCGCUAGGUGUGGGGACUUUCCACGGUUUCCGCGCCGUAGCUAACGCAUUAAGCGCCCCGCCUGGGGAGUACGGCCGCAAGGCUAAAACUCAAAGGAAUUGACGGGGGCCCGCACAAGCGGCGGAGCAUGUUGCUUAAUUCGACGCAACGCGAAGAACCUUACCAAGGUUUGACAUCACCCGUGGACUCGCAGAGAUGUGAGGUCAUUUAGUUGGCGGGUGACAGGUGGUGCAUGGCUGUCGUCAGCUCGUGUCGUGAGAUGUUGGGUUAAGUCCCGCAACGAGCGCAACCCUUGUUCCAUGUUGCCAGCACGUAAUGGUGGGGACUCAUGGGAGACUGCCGGGGUCAACUCGGAGGAAGGUGGGGAUGACGUCAAGUCAUCAUGCCCCUUAUGUCUUGGGCUGCAAACAUGCUACAAUGGCCGGUACAAUGGGCGUGCGAUACCGUAAGGUGGAGCGAAUCCCUAAAAGCCGGUCUCAGUUCGGAUUGGGGUCUGCAACUCGACCCCAUGAAGGUGGAGUCGCUAGUAAUCGCGGAUCAGCAACGCCGCGGUGAAUACGUUCCCGGGCCUUGUACACACCGCCCGUCACGUCAUGAAAGUCGGCAACACCCGAAACUUGCGGCCUAACCCCUUGU